rnacentral:rRNA from 2 species
CUAUACAUGCAAGUCGAGCGAAUGGAUUAAGAGCUUGCUCUUAUGAAGUUAGCGGCGGACGGGUGAGUAACACGUGGGUAACCUGCCCAUAAGACUGGGAUAACUCCGGGAAACCGGGGCUAAUACCGGAUAACAUUUUGAACCGCAUGGUUCGAAAUUGAAAGGCGGCUUCGGCUGUCACUUAUGGAUGGACCCGCGUCGCAUUAGCUAGUUGGUGAGGUAACGGCUCACCAAGGCAACGAUGCGUAGCCGACCUGAGAGGGUGAUCGGCCACACUGGGACUGAGACACGGCCCAGACUCCUACGGGAGGCAGCAGUAGGGAAUCUUCCGCAAUGGACGAAAGUCUGACGGAGCAACGCCGCGUGAGUGAUGAAGGCUUUCGGGUCGUAAAACUCUGUUGUUAGGGAAGAACAAGUGCUAGUUGAAUAAGCUGGCACCUUGACGGUACCUAACCAGAAAGCCACGGCUAACUACGUGCCAGCAGCCGCGGUAAUACGUAGGUGGCAAGCGUUAUCCGGAAUUAUUGGGCGUAAAGCGCGCGCAGGUGGUUUCUUAAGUCUGAUGUGAAAGCCCACGGCUCAACCGUGGAGGGUCAUUGGAAACUGGGAGACUUGAGUGCAGAAGAGGAAAGUGGAAUUCCAUGUGUAGCGGUGAAAUGCGUAGAGAUAUGGAGGAACACCAGUGGCGAAGGCGACUUUCUGGUCUGUAACUGACACUGAGGCGCGAAAGCGUGGGGAGCAAACAGGAU